CCUACGGGAGGCAGCAGUGGGGAAUAUUGGGCAAUGGGCGCAAGCCUGACCCAGCAACGCCGCGUGAAGGAAGAAGGCUUUCGGGUUGUAAACUUCUUUUGUCAGGGAAGAGUAGAAGACGGUACCUGACGAAUAAGCCACGGCUAACUACGUGCCAGCAGCCGCGGUAAUACGUAGGUGGCAAGCGUUGUCCGGAUUUACUGGGUGUAAAGGGCGUGUAGCCGGGUUGACAAGUCAGAUGUGAAAUCCUGCGGCUUAACCGCAGAACUGCAUUUGAAACUGUUGAUCUUGAGUACUGGAGAGGCAGACGGAAUUCGUGGUGUAGCGGUGAAAUGCGUAGAUAUUAGGGGGAAAACCAGUGGCGAAGGCGGUCUGCUGGACAGAAACUGACGGUGAGGGGCGAAGGCGUGGGGAGCAAACAGGAUAGAUACCCGUGUAGUC
rnacentral:rRNA from 1 species